GUUUUGGCAUGUGGGACCUUUUUUUUUUUUUUUAAGUUGUGGCAUGCGAACUUAGUCGCAGCAUGCAGGAUCCAGUUCCCUGAUCAGGGAUGGGAACCCUGGCCCCCCAGCACUGAAAGCUCGGAGUCUUAGCCACUGGACUACCAAAGAAGCCCCAUGGAGAGGAUUUUUCUUGAAAGAACUCUAAGUUUUCAAAUGUUUGCUGCAAUAGUACUCCGAAAGUAGCCCCUGUUGAUCAGACUCUCAGCUCUCCUUGGAAGGAAAGAGACCAGUUCCACGCUCUGGGCUCACCCGGGAGCAGACGCCCCCAGGUGGGCAAUGCGCCCUUCCCGUGGAACACCUGCACGCAGCACCACGAGGAGCGACUCAGCCCGUCAGGCGCCGGCACCGCGGCGACGCGCUUCCGGUCGGUCCCGCCAGCGCCCCGGGGCGUGCCCUCUGCUCACCCGGAAGCUACGGCCCGGGGGAAAGAAGCCCUCUGGCGUCGGGACCCGCCCGGUGAGCGUGGGCCGAGGGUGCCAGACCUGCGGGCACUCCAGGUGCCGCUGCGGGACGGUCCGCCCCAGGGCAGGGCGGCUGGGACCGGGUUAGAAGCGAGCGAAAGGCCGCGUAGCCGAGAGGAGGCGCCCGGGGCAGCCCCGCGCCGCCGCCCCUGCAGCCGCGCCCCCUUCUCCUGGCGCACCUGCUUCCCGCUGCUGCUGGCGCUGUUCUCCCCUCAACGGAUCGCCUCGCCGCGCGGAGCAGAGGGAAGAGCAAAGAGCCCACGAGGAAACCGGAGCUCCAGUCUAGACGGAAAACCUUCAGAAUGCACUGCAGUCUUCGCCGAGUUAAAGAGAAGCUUGCUGAAUUUACUUUACCCUCGUUUGCUGUUACUCAGACGUGUAACCAUGAACGUGGAUUAUUGAGUCAUCUGGUAGCAAGUCUCAUGUUUACAUUUCCCACUUGCUUCACUUUGUCAUUUCUCCUUUUCUCACUUAAUUGGCUUGAAUAAAUCCUCCGUGUGUGUGCGCGCGCGCGUGCGCACACGCACGUGCUUGUGUCACUCAUUGCAACCUUUGCAUAUAGUGGUUUUUGUUUUUUGUUUGGUCUUAAUUUUGAAAUCUGCCUCAGCCUCCGGCCACGCGAGCCGAGCCGCAUUCCUCAGAGUCCGUUCUUACCUGGGCUGAGCAGACUGACCCCGGGCACCC
ensembl:lncRNA